rnacentral:rRNA from 1 species
UACGUAGGGAGCAAGCGUUGUCCGGAAUCAUUGGGCGUAAAGCGCGCGUAGGUGGCCUCGUAAGUCCGCUGUGAAAGUCAAAGGCUCAACCUUUGAAAGCCGGUGGAUACUGUGAGGCUAGAGUACGGAAGAGGCGAGUGGAAUUCCUGGUGUAGCGGUGAAAUGCGCAGAUAUCAGGAGGAACACCAAUUGCGAAGGCAGCUCGCUGGGACGUCACUGACGCUGAGACGCGAAAGCGUGGGGAGCAAACAGG